GACGAACGCUGGCGGCGUGCUUAACACAUGCAAGUCGAACGGAAAGGCCCUGCUUUUGUGGGGUGCUCGAGUGGCGAACGGGUGAGUAACACGUGAGUAACCUGCCCUUGACUUUGGGAUAACUUAAGGAAACUGGGGCUAAUACCGGAUAGGAGCUCCUGCUGCAUGGUGGGGGUUGGAAAGUUUCGGCGGUUGGGGAUGGACUCGCGGCUUAUCAGCUUGUUGGUGGGGUAGUGGCUUACCAAGGCUUUGACGGGUAGCCGGCCUGAGAGGGUGACCGGCCACAUUGGGACUGAGAUACGGCCCAGACUCCUACGGGAGGCAGUAGUGGGGAAUAUUGCACAAUGGGCGGAAGCCUGAUGCAGCAACGCCGCGUGCGGGAUGACGGCCUUCGGGUUGUAAACCGCUUUCGCCUGUGACGAAGCGUGAGUGACGGUAAUGGGUAAAGAAGCACCGGCUAACUACGUG
rnacentral:rRNA from 1 species